UACGUAGGGUGCGAGCGUUGUCCGGAAUUAUUGGGCGUAAAGGCUCGUAGGCGGUCUGUUGCGUCGGGAGUGAAAACUCAGGGCUUAACCCUGAGCCUGCUUCCGAUACGGGCAGACUAGAGGUAUGCAGGGGAGAACGGAAUUCCUGGUGUAGCGGUGAAAUGCGCAGAUAUCAGGAGGAACACCGAUGGCGAAGGCAGGUCUCUGGGCAUUAACUGACGCUGAGGAGCGAAAGCAUGGGGAGCGAACAGG
rnacentral:rRNA from 1 species